rnacentral:rRNA from 1 species
UACGUAGGGUGCGAGCGUUAAUCGGAAUUACUGGGCGUAAAGCGUGCGCAGGCGGUUUUGUAAGUCAGCUGUGAAAUCCCCGGGCUCAACCUGGGAAUGGCAUUUGGGACUGCAAGGCUAGAGUGCGGCAGAGGGGAGUGGAAUUCCUGGUGUAGCAGUGAAAUGCGUAGAUAUCAGGAGGAAUACCGAUGGCGAAGGCAGGUCCCUGGGUUGACACUGACGCUCAUGCACGAAAGCGUGGGGAGCAAACAGG